UCAAAAGUGAAAGACGGUCUUGCUGUCACUUAUAGAUGGAUCCGCGCUGCAUUAGCUAGUUGGUAAGGUAACGGCUUACCAAGGCAACGAUGCAUAGCCGACCUGAGAGGGUGAUCGGCCACACUGGAACUGAGACACGGUCCAGACUCCUACGGGAGGCAGCAGUAGGGAAUCUUCCGCAAUGGGCGAAAGCCUGACGGAGCAACGCCGCGUGAGUGAUGAAGGUCUUCGGAUCGUAAAACUCUGUUAUUAGGGAAGAACAUAUGUGUAAGUAACUGUGCACAUCUUGACGGUACCUAAUCAGAAAGCCACGGCUAACUACGUGCCAGCAGCCGCGGUAAUACGUAGGUGGCAAGCGUUAUCCGGAAUUAUUGGGCGUAAAGCGCGCGUAGGCGGUUUUUUAAGUCUGAUGUGAAAGCCCACGGCUCAACCGUGGAGGGUCAUUGGAAACUGGAAAACUUGAGUGCAGAAGAGGAAAGUGGAAUUCCAUGUGUAGCGGUGAAAUGCGCAGAGAUAUGGAGGAACACCAGUGGCGAAGGCGACUUUCUGGUCUGUAACUGACGCUGAUGUGCGAAAGCGUGGGGAUCAAACAGGAUUAGAUACCCUGGUAGUCCACGCCGUAAACGAUGAGUGCUAAGUGUUAGGGGGUUUCCGCCCCUUAGUGCUGCAGCUAACGCAUUAAGCACUCCGCCUGGGGAGUACGACCGCAAGGUUGAAACUCAAAGGAAUUGACGGGGACCCGCACAAGCGGUGGAGCAUGUGGUUUAAUUCGAAGCAACGCGAAGAACCUUACCAAAUCUUGACAUCCUUUGACAACUCUAGAGAUAGAGCCUUCCCCUUCGGGGGACAAAGUGACAGGUGGUGCAUGGUUGUCGUCAGCUCGUGUCGUGAGAUGUUGGGUUAAGUCCCGCAACGAGCGCAACCCUUAAGCUUAGUUGCCAUCAUUAAGUUGGGCACUCUAAGUUGACUGCCGGUGACAAACCGGAGGAAGGUGGGGAUGACGUCAAAUCAUCAUGCCCCUUAUGAUUUGGGCUACACACGUGCUACAAUGGACAAUACAAAGGGCAGCGAAACCGCGAGGUCAAGCAAAUCCCAUAAAGUUGUUCUCAGUUCGGAUUGUAGUCUGCAACUCGACUACAUGAAGCUGGAAUCGCUAGUAAUCGUAGAUCAGCAUGCUACGGUGAAUACGUUCCCGGGUCUUGUACACACCGCCCGUCACACCACGAGAGUUUGUAACACCCGAAGCCGGUGGAGUAACCUUUUAGGAGCUAGCCGUCGAAGGUGGGACAAAUGAUUGGGGUGAAGUCGUAACAAGGUAGCCGUAUCGGAAGGUGCGGCUGGAUCACCUCCUUUCUAAGGA
rnacentral:rRNA from 1 species